rnacentral:rRNA from 1 species
UCGGGAGGCAGCAGUGGGGAAUAUUGCACAAUGGGCGAAAGCCUGAUGCAGCUAUGCCGCGUGUAUGAAGAAGGCCUUAGGGUUGUAAAGUACUUUCAUCGGGGAGGAAAAAACAAAACUAAUAAUUUUAUUUCUUGACGUUACCCGAAAAAGAAGCACCGGCUAACUCCGUGCCAGCAGCCGCGGUAAUACGGAGGGUGCUAGCGUUAAUCAGAAUUACUGGGCGUAAAGAGCACGUAGGUGGUUUUUUUAAGUCAGAUGUGAAAUCCCUGGGCUUAACCUAGGAACUGCAUUUUGAAACUGAAAUACUAGAGUAUCGUAGAGGGAGGUAGAAUUCUAGGUGUAGCGGUGAAAUGCGUAGAUAUCUGGAGGAAUACCUGUGGCGAAAGCGGCCUCCUAAACGAAUACUGACACUGAGGUGCGAAAAGCGUGGGGAGCAAACAGGGAUUAGAUACC